rfam:Glossina austeni unplaced genomic scaffold Scaffold107, whole genome shotgun sequence.
ACGGGUCCACCAGAAGAAGCGAAAUAAUAGUAACCAGCCUCCACGAAAUAACAUCUAACGGUGAUCACGCGGACGUGAGUGGUCGACGAAAUUUGUGUAUAUGAGGAGUAGUUUUAGUACGUAGUCCCCAUGGACGGCGAAUCGUGCAUGCUGGUCUUAGAGUAAUUAGUAUCCUUAGAAGAUUUCAUACUCCAGGUC